rnacentral:sRNA from 1 species
GCUCUCCACCUGCGCGGGCCUGAAUGGCCUUCAGGAGCGCAGUCGGCCUGAGGAGUUGAUGGUUACCGCCGUGAGCCCAAGUAACUCGCCCUCCUUCGGCCAGAAACCCUCCGCCUGGGCCCGCGCGAGAGGAGCGCGGCCUCUGAGGGGAGCGGCGACCCCGCCAGCCCCAGUCUCUUUCCGUGGCGGCGGCGGCUUCUUCCGUGGGACAAUAUGUUCAAGAGAAUGGCCGAAUUUGGGCCUGACUCCGGCGGGAGAGUAAAGGGUGUUACUAUCGUUAAACCAAUAGUUUACGGUAAUGUUGCUCGGUAUUUUGGAAAGAAAAGAGAAGAAGAUGGGCACACUCAUCAGUGGACAGUAUAUGUGAAACCAUAUAGAAAUGAGGUAGGCACUCGUUUUUUCUGUAACUGUUUUACUUAAAGUU